rnacentral:rRNA from 1 species
CUGCAGCUCAAGUGGUGGCCGCUAUUAUUGGGCCUAAAACGUCCGUAGCCUGUUUAGUAAAUGCUUGGGUAAAUUGUGUAGCUUAACUAUACGAAUACCGGGUAGACUGCUAAACUUGGGACCGGGAGAGGCUAGAGGUACUCCUAGGGUAGAGGUGAAAUUCUGUAAUCCUAGGGGGACCACCAGUGGCGAAGGCGUCUAGCUAGAACGGGUCUGACGGUGAGGGACGAAGCCCUGGGGCGCAAACCGGAUUAGAUACCCGAGUAGUCC